GAAUAAAUUUUACCUAAACUUAUGUGUGUGCCAUUUCAUUGUUCUUAACCAUCUUAAAAAUAUGCAGCUUAGAAACAGUUACCAACAGGUAAAAUAGAGUAUGUACCCAGUUUUUGUCUUAAUAUACAUCUUAACUAUUUUCCCAUCUUUCCUCUAAAUAGUUUAAUGGUUUUAUAAUAUUUCAUCAUAUGGUUACAUAAAUGGUUGUAUAACCAUUUAGUCUUGUUUGUUUGUUUGUGACAAGACCUCUACAUAGCCCUGGCUGUCUUGGAACUAUGUAGAUCAAGCUGCCAUCAGCUCACAGAGAUCUGCCUGCCUCUGCCUCCUGAGUGCUGGAACUAAUAUUAGCCACCAUACCAGGCUUAGUUAUUGGUAAUUGAGACAGAGUCUUUCUACAUAGUCCUGGUGCCCUGGUACUCACUAUGUGUAGGUAGGCUGCCCUUGAACUUGACCUGCCUGCCUCCCCCUCCCUAAAUGGUAGGAUUAAGGGCUUGUGUCACCUUGCCUGACUGUAGAACCAUUUAUUUUGUCCUUGUAUGAAAAUAGGCAGCUGGGCUGUGGUGGCUCACGUCUUUAAUCCCAGCACUCCGGAGAUAGGGGCAGUGGAUGAUCUGUGAGUUGGAGGUGAUCCAGGGCUACAGGGAGGAAAAACAAAAGCAUACAACCCUUUUCACUAUUAUAACAGAAGUUAUAACUAUUAGUGUAUAUAAUCCAACCUCUCUGUAUUUGGGGUUAUUUUGUAUAGAUAUUGUACGGUUUAUAAUUUGAAUCAGAAAGUAUAAAUCUGAUUAAAUUCUUUCAAUGUUUUUGCUUGAUUGUAGCUCCAAGGAGUAUGUAGGUGUCCUAGAAAGUCUAGUGAGUGAACAGGUGUGCUUAUGGCCCCAGGGAGGAAUGUAGAGAGUCUAGUAAGCUGGUAUUGUGGCCUCAGGGUGGAAGGCGAGUCUCCUUGAGAGCCCUGCCAGCAAGUGUUAGUUUCUAUCCUCUUUCUUCAAUGGGAUUGUUUCUUUUUCACCAGCUUUGAAAUUUCCAAGAGGUUGACAUUUCUACCAGAAGAGUUUUUGUUUUUGUCCUUACAAGCAACAGACUCUUCAUUAUCUUUCCUUCAGAGCUAUUAUUGAUACAGUCGUGUAAAAGCACAGGGUUCAGCAGAAGUGGGAAUGUAGUGCAUUAAGUCAUCUCCUAGGCGAUAUUCAAACUCUUUUAUUUUUAAACUGUCAGGGGUCUUUGAUGACUCAGAAAUGAGAGAGAUAUAAAGACCUGUAUUCCUUUCCUCUUAAACCUAUUUUAUUUAAUCAUACAGGUUUUUAAAAAUUAUUGAUUUUAAUAUAUGCACAAAGACCAGUUUGGUGUGUCUACUAGGAAAUAAUUUUAAAAGCUAUUCGAAAGACUAUAAUCGUGCAUAGCUCUUUUCUUGACUUUAUGUAAAACUGUAACCUUUAAAAGUUUUAUUAGCAUAUAUUGAUAUGUAAUGGGUUUCAUGAUGACAUUUUUCUAUAUGAUUCCUGGUAAUCUUGUUCCUGCCUAGUCCCCUUCUAUUUUCUUGUAAGAAUAUACUUUUUCUUUUUUUGAGACAGGGUGUCAGUGUGUAGACCAGGCUGGCCUUGAACUCACAGAACUGAGCUUAAAGGCAUGUGCCAUCACUCCUUUCAAGAAUACAGUCUCUUUGGUAUUAUUUUACCCUACCUAGUAAUUGUAGCUAUUUAGUUCAAGAAUCUAGAAGUUUUAACAAGGAAAAAGGAAAAGAAAGCCUUGUGUGCUGUCAUAGAGCAUUUACAUAGAGCUCUUGUGCUUUAUUUAGCAUCCCUUAGAAUUUUACUCAGAGCAAAUUUAAAUUGUACUUUAUGAUUAUAACCACACGAGAGUUAGACGGAAGGGCAUCAUUGUAUGUGUCCUUUGCCCUAACAGUUGAAUUGUUAUUUUCAUCUUUCUUUAUUAUUAUACAGUAUUAAGUGUAUUUGUUUGUUUUUCUAGCCUGUAGUAGAUUAGAAACCAAUUGAGAAGGAUAUGAAUAACUCAGGGAUAGAGCCGUCAUUCUGGAGCUACUGAAGGUUUACACACUCAGUUUAACUUGGCACAGCACAUAUGUUCUUACAUGUGAAGAUUGCUGCCAAGAAAUAGCAAAAUAAGAUUUAUGUUUUCUGCUUAAGGACACAGAAAAGUUAACAAUUUAAAUUAGAUAAUUUUAAAGCAGCCUUGUCAGAGCCUUAUCUAUAUAUCUAUACUUAUGUUAAUGUAACACUUUAUCUGCAGAAUUCCCAAAAGGAAAAAAUUUAUCUUUGCCAACAAUAUCCCUACCCAGAUGGAGACACUGGACAAAUCCUGGUGUAUUUUAACUAGCAACUUAGAUAGUUAAAUAUACACUUUUAUGAACCAUAAGGCCAGCCAGAUAGCCUGCCUCCUUUCCUCUCUCCUUCCUUCCGUCAUUCCCUCAUCCUUCUGAUUUUUGAUUUUUCAGUGUAACUCUAGCUGUCCUGGAACUUGCAUUAUAGACCAGGCUGGUCUCUAAUUUAUAGAGAUCUGCCUCCUGAGUGCUGGGACUAAAGGUGUGUACUGCCACCACUACCCCCCAAGCUGAUCUCUUAUCUUCAUAAAACAAAAAACUUUCUAUGUUAGAGUGACAAGAAGUUGAUAGUUCAUAGAUUAAUAAGCAGGUAGCUAAGACUUGGCUUUUGGAAUCCUCAUCGCAAGGUUAGAAGGUGUUGAUUCAGGGAAGCCUGUCAGAGUAGAACACUUAGGACCUGGCGGCCUAGGUGAAUGAACAGCUUUGGUGAUCUUUCUUUUGGUUGUGAGCCAUGUCUCGAGUCCUAGCUCUUGUAAUCUAGACAACUGAUCUGUACGUGCUUGCUUUAUCUCAUAUCUUCUAUGUAUGCUCAAUCUUUUGUGUUAUAGGUUCAACAGAAGCCAGGAAAGUUAGUUACAUAAUGAGCAAAAUGUUACAUACGUCAUUGUAAAAUCUGGUGUAAAAAUAGUGGUCAAUGAAUAGUUUUAUAUUUCUUUUAAAAAAAUACAAAAGAAGUCUUUAGAAUAUAUUUUAAAGUUUCUAAAAUCAGUAAGAUUUGGUUCAUAAGAUGUCUGGAAAAUGUACUUGGUUGGAACCUUGUGUUGUACUUUCUGAUCAUGAGAUGUUAAGACCUGCAGGUUUUGUUUUUUUAUUUUAGUCAAGAUCUCACUGUGUAGUCCUGGUUGACCCAGAACUCAUGUAGACCAGGAUGGCUUCAAAGUCACAGAGAUCUGCCUGCCCCUGCCUCUUCAGUGCUGGUUUUAAAGGUGUGCACCACUGGGUCCAGAUUCAGAAUAUUUUUGUUGUUGAUUGCUUUUUUUUUUUUAAAGAUUAUUUUAUGUGUAUGAGUAUGCUGUAGCUGUACUGAUGGUUGUGAGCCAUCAUGUGGUUGCUGGGAAUUUGAACUCAGGAUCUCUGCUUGUUCCGGUUGGCCCCAGUCGCUUUGUCCUAAAGAUUUAUUUGUUAUUAUAUCUGAGUACACUGUAGCUGUCUUGAGAUUAUCAGAAGAGGGCAUCAGACUCAUUAUGGUUGGUUUUGAGCCAGCAUGUGGUUGUUGAGAUUUGAACUCAGGACCUUCGGAAGAGCAGUCAAGGCUCUUAACUGCUGAGCCAUCCCUCCAGCCCUGUUGCUUGCUUUUUGUUCUUGUUUUGAUGAAAGGUCUCACUAUGUAGGUCUGGUUGGUAUAGAACUUACUAUGGAGUGCAGGCUGGCUUCAUUAACAGACCCUCUUCUGCCUCCUGAGUGCUAGAACUAAAGGUACACACCACCACACCUAAGUGAGACCUGUUGUCUUUUGAAGUGGUACGAAUAUAAAUAUGUUUCUUAUAUGUGCACAUUUACUGUGUAUUUUCUAAUGCCAGCUAUUGGUAAGUGAUAAAAAACAGCAAGGUAGCUGGCAUGGUGGUACAGGUCUUUAAUCUCAGCACUUGAGAGGCAGAGGCAGGUGGAUCUCUGAGUUGGAGGCCAGCUUGGUCUUUUGGGGUAGAGGGGUUCAGGUCAGUAACACAGAGACACCCUGUCUCAAAAAACAACAGC
ensembl:sense_intronic